rnacentral:rRNA from 1 species
GAGCGACGCCGCGUGUGUGAUGAAGGCUUUCGGGUCGUAAAGCACUGUUGUAAGGGAAGAAUAACUGAAUUCAGAGAAAGUUUUCAGCUUGACGGUACCUUACCAGAAAGGGAUGGCUAAAUACGUGCCAGCAGCCGCGGUAAUACGUAUGUCCCGAGCGUUAUCCGGAUUUAUUGGGCGUAAAGCGAGCGCAGACGGUUUAUUAAGUCUGAUGUGAAAUCCCGAGGCCCAACCUCGGAACUGCAUUGGAAACUGAUUUACUUGAGUGCGAUAGAGGCAAGUGGAACUCCAUGUGUAGCGGUGAAAUGCGUAGAUAUGUGGAAGAACACCAGUGGCGAAAGCGGCUUGCUAGAUCGUAACUGACGUUGAGGCUCGAAAGUAUGGGUAGCAAACGGGAUUAGAUACCCCGGUAGUCCAUACCGUAAACGAUGGGUGCUAGUUGUUAAGAGGUUUCCGCCUCCUAGUGACGUAGCAAACGCAUUAAGCACCCCGCCUGAGGAGUACGGCCGCAAGGCUAAAACUUAAAGGAAUUGACGGGGACCCGCACAAGCGGUGGAGCAUGUGGUUUAAUUCGAAGAUACGCGAAAAACCUUACCAGGUCUUGACAUACCAAUGAUCGCUUUUGUAAUGAAAGCUUUUCUUCGGAACAUUGGAUACAGGUGGUGCAUGGUCGUCGUCAGCUCGUGUCGUGAGAUGUUGGGUUAAGUCCCGCAACGAGCGCAACCCUUGUUAUUAGUUGCCAGCAUUUAGUUGGGCACUCUAAUGAGACUGCCGGUGAUAAACCGGAGGAAGGUGGGGACGACGUCAGAUCAUCAUGCCCCUUAUGACCUGGGCAACACACGUGCUACAAUGGGAAGUACAACGAGUCGCAAACUGGCGACGGUAAGCUAAUCUCUUAAAACUUCUCUCAGUUCGGACUGGAGUCUGCAACUCGACUCCACGAAGGCGGAAUCGCUAGUAAUCGCGAAUCAGCAUGUCGCGGUGAAUACGUUCCCGGGUCUUGUACACACCGCCCGUCAAAUCAUGGGAGUCGGAAGUACCCAAAGUCGCUUGGCUAACUUUUAGAGGCCGGUGCCUAAGGUAAAAUCGAUGACUGGGAUUAAGUCGUAACAAGGUAGCCGUAGGAGAACCUGCGGCUGGAUCACCUCCUUUCUAAGGA